rnacentral:rRNA from 1 species
UUUCCUACGGGAGGCAGCAGUGGGGAAUCUCAGACAAUGGGCGCAAGCCUGAUCUAGCCAUGCCGCGUGGACGAUGAAGGCCUUAGGGUUGUAAAGUCCUUUCAGCUGGGAAGAUAAUGACGGUACCAGCAGAAGAAGCCCCGGCUAACUCCGUGCCAGCAGCCGCGGUAAUAA